rnacentral:rRNA from 1 species
CAGUAGCCGCGGUAAUACGGAGGGUGCGAGCAUUAAUCGGAAUUACUGGGCGUAAAGCGUACGCAGGCGGUUUGUUAAGUCAGAUGUGAAAUCCCCGAGCUUAACUCGGGAACUGCAUUUGAAACUGGCAGGCUAGAGUCUCGUAGAGGGGGGUAGAAUUCCAGGUGUAGCGGUGAAAUGCGUAGAGAUCUGGAGGAAUACCGGUGGCGAAGGCGGCCCCCUGGACGAAGACUGACGCUCAGGUACGAAAGCGUGGGGAGCAAACAGGAUUAGAUACCCCUGUAGUCCCUGUCUCUUAUAC